rnacentral:rRNA from 1 species
GGGCCCGCACAAGCGGCGGAGCAUGCGGAUUAAUUCGAUGCAACGCGAAGAACCUUACCAAGGCUUGACAUAUGCGAGAACGGGGCAGAGAUGCUCAACUCUUUGGACACUCGUAAACAGGUGGUGCAUGGUUGUCGUCAGCUCGUGUCGUGAGAUGUUGGGUUAAGUCCCGCAACGAGCGCAACCCUCGUCCUAUGUUGCCAGCACGUAAUGGUGGGGACUCAUGGGAUACUGCCGGGGUCAACUCGGAGGAAGGUGGGGAUGACGUCAAAUCAUCAUGCCCCUUAUGUCUUGGGCUUCACGCAUGCUACAAUGGCCGGUACAAAGGGCUGCAAAACCGUGAGGUGGAGCGAAUCCCAAAAAACCGGUCUCAGUUCGGAUUGGGGUCUGCAACUCGACCUCAUGAAGUCGGAGUCGCUAGUAAUCGCAGA